CUGUGGUAAUCAAGAAAAUUAAAAUGUUUUUCUGAAAAGUCAUGCUCUUUCUAUGUAAUAAAUAAAAUAGUUUGUUUUUCUUUGCUUUCUGCCUCUCAUUAUGUAGUUAUGAAUUAUAAAGAGAACUUUGUAGUCCCUCUGCAUAUUUCUAAGAACAUAUUCCUUUUUUUUUCCAUUAGGAAGAAGAUACUAAGUAUGCAGUCAUCAGAUAGAUGCUUCAUAUGGAUUAGUGAUUAAUGCUCCUUACUGUAACUGGAAUGGCUAGAUGCCUACUAAUGCACUUCCAAAUAUUCCCAAAGAUGGCUGUGAAGACACUCUCCAGAUUUGCAUUCAGAAGGUCCUAAUCAAUGCACCAAAUCUGUAAUCACCAAAAAGUAGGUCUGGACAUACGGAUUCGUAUGAUUGUCCUAACCCAAGAUCACGUUACCAAGUACUUGCUGAACAAAAGGAGCUCAUAUAAAUGUUCCAUAAUUCUAUGGCAUCCUUGGCAAUAUUUCAGCUUGUCAGAAAUUCAAAGUCUGCUGUUUGGGCAAGUAUCCUAGAACACUUGGUUGUUAAGCAGAGAGAAUCCUGUUUGCUGUUGCAGAAUGAGGAAGAUGUGUUCCUGCCAGCACCUGAAUGCACAGUGCCAGCGCCCGAGCCCUCAAUGAGACCUUGGAGGUUGAAAACCACCUUCACAGCUCCUCUGGACAUGAACAAGAGGUGGAAUCCCAUCUGCCAUAGGAGAACUUCACCUGGGAGAAAACUGCAACCUAAUGCAGGAUUGUGCAGAGCAGGCAUUGCCACAUAAGUGACCAAGUAAACUCAGCUUCUGCAGGUUUCAGUGUCAGCCUUG
rnacentral:lncRNA from 1 species